GAUGAACGCUGGCGGCGUGCUUAACACAUGCAAGUCGAACGAAGCACUUUAUUUGAUUUCCUUCGGGACUGAUUAUUUUGUGACUGAGUGGCGGACGGGUGAGUAACGCGUGGGUAACCUGCCUUGUACAGGGGGAUAACAGUUGGAAACGGCUGCUAAUACCGCAUAAGCGCACGGCAUCGCAUGAUGCAGUGUGAAAAACUCCGGUGGUAUAAGAUGGACUCGCGUUGGAUUAGCCAGUUGGUGAGGUAACGGCCCACCAAGGCGACGAUCCAUAGCCGACAGGGGAGGGUGACCGGCCGCAUUGGGAAUGAGGCACGGCCCAAGCUCCUACGGAAGGGAGCGGUGGGGAAUAUUGCGCAAUGAGGGAAAACCUGAUGCAGCGACGCCGCGUGAGCGAAGAAGUAGUUCGGUAUGUAAAGCUCUAUCAGCAGGGAAGAUAAUGACGGUACCUGGCAAAGAAGCACCGGCUAAAUACGUG
rnacentral:rRNA from 1 species